GAAAUGCGAUAUGUAAUGUGAAUUGCAGGAAUCAGUGAAUCAUCAAAUCUUUGAACGCACAUGGCACUUGUUUUACAAGUACAACUGGCUGAGUGUCAUUUAAAAAUAAUAGCUGGAUCUGUCUCGCGACAUGGUUUGACUUGGCGUAAUAAGUAUUUCGCUAAGGACAUCUUCGGAUGGCCGCGUUGCAGGACUAAAGACCGCUUUCUAAUCCAUUGAUCUUCGGAUUAAUACUCUUGACAUCUGGCCUCAAAUCAGGUAGGACUACCCGCUGAACUUAA
rnacentral:misc_RNA from 1 species